AGAUGUGCCCUCCCCGCAGGCCUCAACCUACCUGAAACACAACAAGUACCAGCAGGCGGAAGAGUUGUACAAAGAAAUCCUCAGCAGGGAGGACCUGCCCGCCCCUCUUGGAGCCUCCAACAGAGCCGGUAAUGCAGAACAGCAGGUGACGCUGGGCUUGGCUUCAGCUCCCGAGGUGGGGACUGGACAGGCCUCAGGGGCACUGACCAGUGUCCCCGGCCCCUCCCCAGACCCUUCGUCGUAGCAGCUCCUUCUCCAAGCUCCUCAAGUCCAUCCGGCGUGGAAGUGAGAAGCUGGUCUCCUGCCUCUGAGGCGAAGGGGUGGCGGGCACAGCCGGAAUGAAGAGAGCCAUGUCACUCAACAUGCUGAACGUGGAUGGCCCGAGGGCUGCUGGGACUCAGGUGAGAGGGAUGGAUGGGGCAGGGGGAGUUAGGAGAGGGCAGGUUGGAAUAUGGACCCCUGGCCAGGAUAACAGGUGGAUUUUACUUGGGGUAGAGGCAGGGGGGUGACACACUGCUGUCAGGGUGGCGACAGAGCUGUGUCUCACCUUGUAGAAUAAGAGUAGAACAGGAGACUAUCCUUGUUCAUAGGAGAUACAUCAGGAAAGAGGAAAAGGUUAUGGUAUCUGCAACCUUUUCUUCAAUAGUUCAAUAGCACUAAUAGUAUUAAUAAUAAUAUGUAUGUAUGUAUAUAUAUUUAUAUGUAGAUAGAAAGGGAUGGCACUAAGGCAAAUAUGGCAGAGUGAGAAUCUGGAGGAAGAGUGUAUGAGAGUUCAUUGUACUAUGCAAUUCUUUAAAUUUUUCAAAAUAAAAAAUGUAUUAUACACACACACACACACACACACCUGCAAUGUUGUUAGGAAAAAUAACUUAGGCUUGGUAGUUGCUUGAAUGCAUACAGCAAAGAAGAGUGAAAAUUUCCUGGAAUGGAAAUUACACCUUUGCCCUCUACUACAAACACGAUGUACUUAUAUAGCCCCAGCAAGGUUCAUGUGUGAGAUGGAAUUAAGCCAACUGAGGAAAUUA